rnacentral:rRNA from 1 species
AAAUUGAAGAGUUUGAUCAUGGCUCAGAUUGAACGCUGGCGGCAGGCCUAACACAUGCAAGUCGAACGGUAACAGGAAACAGCUUGCUGUUUCGCUGACGAGUGGCGGACGGGUGAGUAAUGUCUGGGAAACUGCCUGAUGGAGGGGGAUAACUACUGGAAACGGUAGCUAAUACCGCAUAACGUCGCAAGACCAAAGAGGGGGACCCUCGGGCCUCUUGCCAUCGGAUGUGCCCAGA